rnacentral:misc_RNA from 1 species
GUGCUAUCAAGGGUGUUAGAUAAGCAUGAAGUACCUGGCUUAGAGUAUCAUUCAUCUACUGUUGGCCGCCUAUUCAAAAGCGGGUUUGGGAGAUUUGGUCUUGGGCAGGCAAAACCAAGUCUGGCAGAUCACGAUGUUAUUCUCGUGUUUGUUGUGGGAGGCAUAAAUGGUGUAGAGGUUCGAGAAGCUCAGGAGGCAUUAUCUGAGAGCAGCAGGCCUCUGCUUCUUCAAUA